GUGGGGAAUCUUCCGCAAUGGACGAAAGUCUGACGGAGCAACGCCGCGUGAGUGAAGAAGGUUUUCGGAUCGUAAAGCUCUUUCGUUAGGGACGAACGUGCUCUUUGUGAAUAAUGAGGAGUAAUGACGGUACCUAAAUAAGAAGCCACGGCUAACUACGUGCCAGCAGCCGCGGUAAUACGUAGUUGGCAAGCGUUGUCCGGAAUUAUUGGGCGUAAAGCGCGCGCAGGCGGGAUAUCAAGUCUGUCUUAAAAGUGCGAGGCUCAACAUAGUGAAUGGACAGAAACUGGUAUUCUUGAGUGUCGAUGAGGAAAGUGGAAUUCCAAGUGUAGCGGUGAAAUGCGUAGAGAUUUGGAAGAACACCAGUGGCGAAUGCGACUUUCUGGACGAUGUCUGACGCUGAGGCGCGAAAGCUAGGGGAGCGAACGGGAUUAGAAACCCCGGUAGUCC
rnacentral:rRNA from 1 species